rnacentral:rRNA from 1 species
CUACGUGCCAGCAGCCGCGGUAAUACGGAAGGUCCAGGCGUUACCCGGAUUUACUGGGUUUAAAGGGAGCGUAGGCCGUGGAUUAAGCGUGUUGUGAAAUGUAGACGCUCAACGUCUGAAUUGCAGCGCGAACUGGUUCACUUGAGUAUGCACAACGUAGGCGGAAUUCGUCGUGUAGCGGUGAAAUGCUUAGAUAUGACGAAGAACUCCGAUUGCGAAGGCAGCUUACGGGAGCACAACUGACGCUGAAGCUCGAAGGUGCGGGUAUCAAACAGGAUUAGAUACCCUGGUAGUCCGCACAGUAAACGAUGGAUGCCCGUUGUUAGUUCACUUAAGAAUUAGCGACCAAGCGAAAGCAUUAAGCAUCCCACCUGGGGAGUACGCCGGCAACGGUGAAACUCAAAGGAAUUGACGGGGGCCCGCACAAGCGGAGGAACAUGUGGUUUAAUUCGAUGAUACGCGAAGAACCUUACCAGGUCUUGACAU